UUUGUUGAGCAGUCACCAGUCACAGUCAGUCAGUCCAGUCGGUACUCUGUAGGUCGUAGAGCCCGAGCGCGAUUGUGUUGUGAUAGUUGGGUUGCAGUUAUUAGCGCGGUUACACACCACGGUUGGGUGAGGCUUGUUUUGGUUAAUCGCUGUUGACUUCAACCUGCCUGUGGUCUGGCGACCUUACCCGACGACAUGGAAAACGUUCAACUAAAUUUCACAGUGGGGUCAUGAGAUUCAAGGAUUCUUUGUACUUACAGCGUCCGGUCAUCUCAAGGAUCUUGCCGGGAUGCUGCCUUCUAUUCCUUACUUACUUCCUGAAACUGCUCAUCUGUUGUCCCUCCAUGUGAAGGAGAUCUUCAGAGAUCUUCAAUCAGUGACCUGGAAGCAAGCAGCUAUUCUUCUUGCUGUAUCAGCUAUUCUUCCUUCAUUAUUUCCUGAGUGAACUGGGUAUGGAGUGGAUGGGCCAGCAGGAACUCAUGCAGCAUAGAGCUCUGCACAAUUAACAUGGCAAAAAAAACACCUAAGCAAAAAAAGAUGUUUAACCUUUUUUAGGUUAAAUUUGUACUGUUUUAUUAUUUGUUGAAUUUUUAAUUGUUUUUGUACAGUUCCUAUUUAAUUUGAUAAUACGAAAACCAUCUUGCACCAAUUGUUUCAGAUAAUCAACGCACUGCUGUAAACAGUCCUUUUACCUCUAAUCAUAAAGAUCAAUAGAACAUAGAUUUAAGCAGUAUUACAUAUUAAAUAUUUAGUAUAGAGAAAUAAGAAAAUAACAUUUAUUUCUUACACAAUUAAUCACAAUCAAUACGAAAGAGAGGGUUUUAGUUUUGAAAUAUACUACAUCAAUUAAAAAUGUAUUAUUUU